CAUAUCAUAAGCGGAGGAAAAGAAACUAACAAGGAUUCCCCUAGUAACUGCGAGUGAAGCGGGAAAAGCUCAAAUUUAAAAUCUGGCAGUCUUUGGCUGUCCGAGUUGUAAACUAGAGAAGUGUUAUCCGCGCUGGACCGUGUACAAGUCUCCUGGAAUGGAGCGUCAUAGAGGGUGAGAAUCCCGUCUUUGACACGGACUACCAGGGCUUUGUGAUGCGCUCUCAAAGAGUCGAGUUGUUUGGGAAUGCAGCUCAAAAUGGGUGGUAAAUUCCAUCUAAAGCUAAAUAUUGGCGAGAGACCGAUAGCGAACAAGUACCGUGAGGGAAAGAUGAAAAGAACUUUGGAAAGAGAGUUAAACAGUACGUGAAAUUGCUGAAAGGGAAACGCUUGAAGUCAGUCGCGUUGUCCAGGGAUCAACCUUGCUUUUGCUUGGUGUACUUCCUGGUUGACGGGUCAGCAUCAAUUUUGACUAUUGGAAAAAGAUUAGGGGAAUGUGACAUCUUCGGAUGUGUUAUAGCCCUUGGUUGUAUGCAAUGGUUGGGAUUGAGGAACUCAGCACGCCGCAAGGCCGGGUUUUUAACCACGUACGUGCUUAGGAUGCUGGCAUAAUGGCUUUAAUCGACCCGUCUUGAAACACGGACCAAGGAGUCUAACAUGCCUGCGAGUGUUUGGGUGGAAAACCCGAGCGCGUAAUGAAAGUGAAAGUUGAGAUCCCUGUCGUGGGGAGCAUCGACGCCCGGACCAGACCUUUUGUGACGGCUCCGCGGUAGAGCAUGUAUGUUGGGACCCGAAAGAUGGUGAACUAUGCCUGAAUAGGGUGAAGCCAGAGGAAACUCUGGUGGAGGCUCGUAGCGAUUCUGACGUGCAAAUCGAUCGUCAAAUUUGGGUAUAGGGGCGAAAGACUAAUCGAACCAUCUAGUAGCUG
rnacentral:rRNA from 1 species